GGUUAAGCGACUAAGCGUACACGGUGGAUGCCCUGGCAGUCAGAGGCGAUGAAGGGCGUGCUAAUCUGCGAUAAGCGCCGGUAAGGUGAUAUGAACCGUUAUAACCGGCGAUACCCGAAUGGGGAAACCCAGUGUGAUUCGUCACACUAUCAUUAACUGAAUCCAUAGGUUAAUGAGGCGAACCGGGGGAACUGAAACAUCUAAGUACCCCGAGGAAAAGAAAUCAACCGAGAUUCCCCCAGUAGCGGCGAGCGAACGGGGAGGAGCCCAGAGCCUGAAUCAGCAUGUGUGUUAGUGGAAGCGUCUGGAAAGGCGCGCGAUACAGGGUGACAGCCCCGUACACAAAAGCGCAUGUGCUGUGAGCUCGAUGAGUAGGGCGGGACACGUGGUAUCCUGUCUGAAUAUGGGGGGACCAUCCUCCAAGGCUAAAUACUCCUGACUGACCGAUAGUGAACCAGUACCGUGAGGGAAAGGCGAAAAGAACCCCGGCGAGGGGAGUGAAAAAGAACCUGAAACCGUGUACGUACAAGCAGUGGGAGCACAGGUUUACCUGUGUGACUGCGUACCUUUUGUAUAAUGGGUCAGCGACUUAUAUUCUGUAGCAAGGUUAACCGAAUAGGGGAGCCGGAGGGAAACCGAGUCUUAAUUGGGCGUUAAGUUGCAGGGUAUAGACCCGAAACCCGGUGAUCUAGCCAUGGGCAGGUUGAAGGUUGGGUAACACUAACUGGAGGACCGAACCGACUAAUGUUGAAAAAUUAGCGGAUGACCUGUGGCUGGGGGUGAAAGGCCAAUCAAACCGGGAGAUAGCUGGUUCUCCCCGAAAGCUAUUUAGGUAGCGCCUCGUGAAUUCAUCUCCGGGGGUAGAGCACUGUUUCGGCUAGGGGGCCAUCCCGGCUUACCAACCCGAUGCAAACUGCGAAUACCGGAGAAUGUUAUCACGGGAGACACACGGCGGGUGCUAACGUCCGUCGUGAAGAGGGAAACAACCCAGACCGCCAGCUAAGGUCCCAAAGUCAUGGUUAAGUGGGAAACGAUGUGGGAAGGCCCAGACAGCCAGGAUGUUGGCUUAGAAGCAGCCAUCAUUUAAAGAAAGCGUAAUAGCUCACUGGUCGAGUCGGCCUGCGCGGAAGAUGUAACGGGGCUAAACCAUGCACCGAAGCUGCGGCAGCGA
rnacentral:rRNA from 2 species